rnacentral:rRNA from 1 species
GAUGAACGCUAGCUACAGGCUUAACACAUGCAAGUCGCGGGGCAGCAUCUGCCUUCCUUCGGGGAUGCAGGAUGGCGACCGGCGCACGGGUGAGUAACGCGUAUCCAACCUGCCCCUCACUACGUACAGCCUGCCGAAAGGCAGAUUAAUCCCGUAUGCGGUCCGCAGCCGGCAUCAUUUGCGGACUAAAGGUUUGUUCCGGUGAGGGAUGGGGAUGCGUCCGAUUAGCUUGUUGGCGGGGUAACGGCCCACCAAGGCACCGAUCGGUAGGGGUUCUGAGAGGAAGGUCCCCCACACUGGAACUGAGACACGGUCCAGACUCCUACGGGAGGCAGCAGUGAGGAAUAUUGGUCAAUGGGCGGAAGCCUGAACCAGCCAAGUAGCGUGCAGGAAGACGGCCCUAUGGGUUGUAAACUGCUUUUAUGCGGGGAUAAAGUGCAAUACGUGUAUUGCUUUGCAGGUACCGCAUGAAUAAGGACCGGCUAAUUCCGUGCCAGCCGCCGCCGUAACAC